CCCCCCCCCCCCCCCCCCCCCCCCCCCCCCCCCCCCCCCCCCCCCCCCCCCCCCCCCCCCCCCCCCCCCCCGCCCCUGCCCCUGCUCCUGCCCCUGUUCCUGUUCCUGCCCCUGUUCCUCUCCUGCCCCUGCUCCUGCCCCUGUUCCUGCCCCUGUUCCUGCCCCUGCUCCUGCCCCUGCCCCUGCCUGAGCAGCAGGAACCUCCCUGGAAUUGUCUCUCAUGGAGAGCUGGGCUUGUCUGGCAUUUUUUUGGGGAGCUGCAUCCCUAAAUCUCCCCCAGAUCCUUGAUCCCUCCCACCCUGAAAGGCUGGGACGUGCCAGCCUCACUCACCCGGGGAUGUUUGUUCUGUGCAGAACUCCAGGUUUGGAUGAAUCCAGGCUUGGAUGAAUCCAGGCUUGGAUGAAUCCAGGCUUGGCACAGUCCUGUCUCCAUCUAAACUCAUUUCCUUCCAUUCCUUAUGGAAUAAUGCCAGGGAAUCAGUCCCAUUAAAGCAGGAAUUAAAGUGCUUUGGGACCCAGGUGAGGCCAAGCAUUGCUCACAGGUGGUUUAGAUCAGCACAGAAAAGAGCAGUUCUCCAAAAUUCAUUAUAAAAUUAUAAAUCUGUUACACCCAGGUAG
rnacentral:lncRNA from 12 species